CAUGCAAGUCGGACGGGGUCACCUUCCGGGUGGCUCACGUGGCGGACGGGUGAGGAACACGUGGGCAAUCUGCCCACCGGUGGGGGGUAGCCCUCGGAAACGGGGGGUAAUUCCGCAUGUGCUUGCGUGCCGUGUCGGGCACGCAAGGAAAGCCUUUGGGCGCCGGUGGAGGAGCCUGCGACCGAUUAGCUGGUUGGUGUGGUAAUGGCGCACCAAGGCGAUGAUCGGUAGCUGGUCUGAGAGGAUGGCCAGCCACACGGGGACUGAGACACGGCCCCGACUCCUACGGGAGGCAGCAGCAAGGAAUUUUCCGCAAUGGGCGCAAGCCUGACGGAGCAACGCCGCGUGUGGGAUGACGCGUUUCGGCGUGUAAACCACUGUUCGUGGGGACGAAGCACUGACGGUACCCACGGAGGAAGGCCCGGCUAACUACGUGCCAGCAGCCGCGGUAAUACGUAGGGUGCAAGCGUUAAUCGGAAUUACUGGGCGUAAAGCGUGCGCAGGCGGUUUUGUAAGUCUGUCGUGAAAUCCCCGGGCUCAACCUGGGAAUUGCGAUGGAGACUGCAAGGCUAGAAUCUGGCAGAGGGGGGUAGAAUUCCACGUGUAGCAGUGAAAUGCGUAGAGAUGUGGAGGAACACCGAUGGCGAAGGCAGCCCCCUGGGUCAAGAUUGACGCUCA
rnacentral:rRNA from 1 species